UACGUAGGGUCCGAGCGUUGUCCGGAAUUACUGGGCGUAAAGGGCGCGUAGGCGGCCUGUUAAGUCGAACGUGAAAUCCCGGGCUCAACCCGGGAACUGCGUUGGAAACUACGAGACUAGAGUGCGGCAGAGGGGGUGGAAUUCCAGGUGUAGCAGUGAAAUGCGCAGAUAUCGAGGAGGAACACCGGUGGCGAAGGCGGAUCUCUGGGCCAUUGACUGACGCUGAGGAGCGAAAGCGUGGGGAGCGAACAGG
rnacentral:rRNA from 1 species